GCUCGUGUAGCUCAGUGGUUAGAGCUUCGUGCUUAUAGCACGCGACCGUCGUGGGUUCAAACCCCACCUCGAGCA
rnacentral:tRNA from 1 species